CUUCGGGUUGUAAACCUCUUUCAGUAGGGAAGAAGCGAAAGUGACGGUACCUGCAGAAGAAGCGCCGGCUAACUACGUGCCAGCAGCCGCGGUAAUACGUAGGGCGCAAGCGUUAUCCCGGAAUUAUUGGGCGUAAAGAGCUCGUAGGCGGUUUGUCGCGUCUGCCGUGAAAGUCCCGGGGCUUAACUCCGGAUCUGCGGUGGGUACGGGCAGACUUGAGUGAUGUAGGGGAGACUGGAAUUCCUGGUGUAGCGGUGAAAUGCGCAGAUAUCAGGAGGAACACCGAUGGCGAAGGCAGGUCUCUGGGCAUUAACUGACGCUGAGGAGCGAAAGCAUGGGGAGCGAACAGGAUUAGAUACCCUGGUAGUCCAUGCCGUAAACGUUGGGCACUAGGUGUGGGGGACAUUCCACGUUUUCCGCGCCGUAGCUAACGCAUUAAGUGCCCCGCCUGGGGAGUACGGCCGCAAGGCUAAAACUCAAAGGAAUUGACGGGGGCCCGCACAAGCGGCGGAGCAUGCGGAUUAAUUCGAUGCAACGCGAAGAACCUUACCAAGGCUUGACAUGAACCGGAACGGCGCAGAGAUGUGUCGGCCACUUGUGGCCGGUUUACAGGUGGUGCAUGGUUGUCGUCAGCUCGUGUCGUGAGAUGUUGGGUUAAGUCCCGCAACGAGCGCAACCCUCGUUCCAUGUUGCCAGCGGGUUAUGCCGGGGACUCAUGGGAGACUGCCGGGGUCAACUCGGAGGAAGGUGGGGACGACGUCAAAUCAUCAUGCCCCUUAUGUCUUGGGCUUCACGCAUGCUACAAUGGCCGGUACAAAGGGUUGCGAUGCUGUGAGGUGGAGCUAAUCCCAAAAAGCCGGUCUCAGUUCGGAUUGAGGUCUGCAACUCGACCUCAUGAAGUGGGAGUCGCUAGUAAUCGCAGAUCAGCAUUGCUGCGGUGAAUAC
rnacentral:rRNA from 1 species